rnacentral:rRNA from 1 species
UGUGAACUCGAAGAGUAGGGCGGGACACGUGGUAUCCUGUCUGAAUAUGGGGGGACCAUCCUCCAAGGCUAAAUACUCCUGACUGACCGAUAGUGAACCAGUACCGUGAGGGAAAGGCGAAAAGAACCCCGGCGAGGGGAGUGAAAAAGAACCUGAAACCGUGUACGUACAAGCAGUGGGAGCACCUUCGGGUGUGACUGCGUACCUUUUGUAUAAUGGGUCAGCGACUUAUAUUCUGUAGCAAGGUUAACCGUAUAGGGGAGCCGCAGGGAAACCGAGUCUUAACUGGGCGUUAAGUUGCAGGGUAUAGACCCGAAACCCGGUGAUCUAGCCAUGGGCAGGUUGAAGGUUGGGUAACACUAACUGGAGGACCGAACCGACUAAUGUUGAAAAAUUAGCGGAUGACUUGUGGCUGGGGGUGAAAGGCCAAUCAAACCGGGAGAUAGCUGGUUCUCCCCGAAAGCUAUUUAGGUAGCGCCUCGUGAACUCAUCUUCGGGGGUAGAGCACUGUUUCGGCUAGGGGGUCAUCCCGACUUACCAACCCGAUGCAAACUACGAAUACCGAAGAAUGUUAUCACGGGAGACACACGGCGGGUGCUAACGUCCGUCGUGAAGAGGGAAACAACCCAGACCGCCAGCUAAGGUCCCAAAGUCAUGGUUAAGUGGGAAACGAUGUGGGAAGGCACAGACAGCCAGGAUGUUGGCUUAGAAGCAGCCAUCAUUUAAAGAAAGCGUAAUAGCUCACUGGUCGAGUCGGCCUGCGCGGAAGAUGUAACGGGGCUAAACCAUGCACCGAAGCUGCGGCAGCGACACUAUGUGUUGUUGGGUAGGGGAGCGUUCUGUAAGCCUGCGAAGGUGUGCUGUGAGGCAUGCUGGAGGUAUCAGAAGUGCGAAUGCUGACAUAAGUAACGAUAAAGCGGGUGAAAAGCCCGCUCGCCGGAAGACCAAGGGUUCCUGUCCAACGUUAAUCGGGGCAGGGUGAGUCGACCCCUAAGGCGAGGCCGAAAGGCGUAGUCGAUGGGAAACAGGUUAAUAUUCCUGUACUUGGUGUUACUGCGAAGGGGGGACGGAGAAGGCUAUGUUAGCCGGGCGACGGUUGUCCCGGUUUAAGCAUGUAGGCUGGUUNUCCAGGCAAAUCCGGAUAANCAAGGCUGAGGUGUGAUGACGAGGCACUACGGUGCUGAAGUAACAAAUGCCCUGCUUCCAGGAAAAGCCUCUAAGCAUCAGGUAACAUCAAAUCGUACCCCAAACCGACACAGGUGGUCAGGUAGAGAAUACCAAGGCGCUUGAGAGAACUCGGGUGAAGGAACUAGGCAAAAUGGUGCCGUAACUUCGGGAGAAGGCACGCUGGUGUGUAGGUGAAGNCCCUGCGGNUGGAGCUGAGACCAGUCGAAGAUACCAGCUGGCUGCAACUGUUUAUUAAAAACACAGCACUGUGCAAACACGAAAGUGGACGUAUACGGUGUGACGCCUGCCCGGUGCCGGAAGGUUAAUUGAUGGGGUUAUCCGUAAGGAGAAGCUCUUGAUCGAAGCCCCGGUAAACGGCGGCCGUAACUAUAACGGUCCUAAGGUAGCGAAAUUCCUUGUCGGGUAAGUUCCGACCUGCACGAAUGGCGUAAUGAUGGCCAGGCUGUCUCCACCCGAGACUCAGUGAAAUUGAACUCGCUGUGAAGAUGCAGUGUACCCGCGGCAAGACGGAAAGACCCCGUGAACCUUUACUAUAGCUUGACACUGAACAUUGAGCCUUGAUGUGUAGGAUAGGUGGGAGGCUUUGAAGCGUGGACGCCAGUCUGCGUGGAGCCAACCUUGAAAUACCACCCUUUAAUGUUUGAUGUUCUAACGUUGGCCCCUUACCGGGGUUGCGGACAGUGUCUGGUGGGUAGUUUGACUGGGGCGGUCUCCUCCCAAAGCGUAACGGAGGAGCACGAAGGUUAGCUAAUCCUGGUCGGACAUCAGGAGGUUAGUGCAAUGGCAUAAGCUAGCUUGACUGCGAGCGUGACGGCGCGAGCAGGUGCGAAAGCAGGUCAUAGUGAUCCGGUGGUUCUGAAUGGAAGGGCCAUCGCUCAACGGAUAAAAGGUACUCCGGGGAUAACAGGCUGAUACCGCCCAAGAGUUCAUAUCGACGGCGGUGUUUGGCACCUCGAUGUCGGCUCAUCACAUCCUGGGGCUGAAGUAGGUCCCAAGGGUAUGGCUGUUCGCCAUUUAAAGUGGUACGCGAGCUGGGUUUAGAACGUCGUGAGACAGUUCGGUCCCUAUCUGCCGUGGGCGCUGGAGAAUUGAGGGGGGCUGCUCCUAGUACGAGAGGACCGGAGUGGACGCAUCACUGGUGUUCGGGUUGUCAUGCCAAUGGCACUGCCCGGUAGCUAAAUGCGGAAGAGAUAAGUGCUGAAAGCAUCUAAGCACGAAACUUGCCCCGAGAUGAGUUCUCCCUGAGACUUUAAGUCUCCUGAAGGAACGUU